AUUCUCCCAAAAACCCUCUUAUUUGCUUAGUCAUCGCCUUGAAUUUUGGAACGCUGUCGGGGCACAAGGAAGGAAUCUCCGGCGGCCGCUAUUCUCGGGGAACUCGACAUUCCUCGGCUCUAAGGGGUUUUUAGGGUUUCCGAUUCCGAAUUUUAUGAUUCUACGAUUCCACUGUAGGUAUACGCGAAUGCAUAGAUAUGUAAUGAAACAUUUGCUCUGAAUCGGCUUUAUUCCUCGACUUACGGUUGGCACAGGCAAUCAUUUUUUUAAUUCGGAAACCCUAGCCUACCUUUAAUUUUCUCAGGUAUACUCUUGAAUCCACCGUGAGCUUGUUGAUAAUGGUUUAAAGGAGUGAACUUUGAAAAGUAAUGCUGUUAUCUAUGUAGUUUAUUUACAUGUGUUUACUGUUUUUAAGUAAAAGAAGUUGCUUGUGAACAACUGACUGAAGCCUUUGAAGUUUGAUCCAUUGGAUUAAAUAAAGCCAUUUUUUGGCAAAAUAGUUGCUUGAAGUAAAUCUUUUUUGGUCAGCUAUAUGUAAAGUAAAGCUUUCUUGGUUAGCUAUAUGUAAAGGUUUUCUAGAGCUAGAGACACAUGCCACUACUCCUUCAGAGACCGAAGAUGUGCGAAAAGUUUCAAUCUAUCUCUGUUUUCAUUGUUUAGGUUAGAUUGAUCCAAUUUGAGCCUUUAUUUUGUCAAUCACCAACAUAAGGAUGUGAUGCUGCGAUUAUAAGGGGAAGAAUGAAAAUUGGAUACAUUGUCUGUAUAUUUCGUAAUGAUCACUGUCUGGAAGUUCUUGUGGUCAAUUGGCAACAACCUUAACUAAGUCAAAUCUAUCAGAGCAAGGAGUAUUUCCUGUCGGACACAUAACAUAUCUAUGCAUUUGCGUAUACCUACAUCUCUGUUGCCAAAACGCGCGUUAAACAUUGUAUUUAUUCUGUCGGGCAGGGUCACUUUCAUAGCUUCAAGUUGCAAGGUUCACCUUCUGACUAGAAAAUUAAGGACAAGUUGGAUACAUUGAUUUUGUGGAGAUACCGUGGACUAUUCUUUUAUCUAUGUUCUUUGCUAUCGUAUUCUUUCUUUUGUCCAAUUAUUAGCUAACUCGUUUUGUACAGAGGCAUAAGUGCCCGCUUUGACUUUUUAAUCUUAAGCUGCUUUUAUUAUUUAAUCGUCAGAAAAUGUGUCAUUCUUCUGCUGGAUGGCUAAACGAGUAUUAUGCAUUGCUGUAAGACUGUAAUUUGACAAACCUUUUCUUUCUUGGAUUUUAAGCUGAUAUAACUUUUCUUUGGCUAUCUGCACAGUUAAAACAUCUAGCCACAUGUCAUCCAACAAUGAUCCAGUGGAGAUUGACAGUCCUGCUGCAUGUAAUGGAGAUACACUUAGUACC
rnacentral:lncRNA from 1 species